GAGUAGUGUUUAUAAUGCAUAGCCGGGCUACGGAGUAAUCUGUAGCUUACUUUCCCUAUAUGCUGGAAACCCUUAUAGCUUCAUUAACUAGAUAUACUUAAUCGGCCCCUUUAAUUAGACAGCAGAUAAGUGAUAAUCAGUAACAUCAAUAAAGAUUGGGCAAUCAGCAGGAAACUAAAGAUUGUAUUAGCCCCACUAGGUGACAGGACAAUUGAGUAGGAUCCUCAGAGACUAUACGGAGAAUACCCUUACACUAAGUAGCAAUACUCUAGGUAUGGGUAAAGAUAGAGUCCGACCUUUAGGAAAACCUAUAG
rnacentral:ncRNA from 1 species